GGGGGCGAUCUGGCAUCGACCGGGCUUCGGAAGUGUUUGGUUGCGUGUCGUGGUUGAUCGGCUGGCCACGUAAAAAGUCGAUCAAAAAGUAACUGCUGAACCGCAGUACUCCCUCGCAGUUUGACUGUGAGCCGUUCCGGCAGCUUCGCCCAAGAGGGGCCGGUUCGGACGCAAUUUGGGCUCGUGGGAACCUGAGCGUUGGGGACACCACCCAACCCGCCUCGGCGGCCGUUCCUGCUAAAAAAAUCUGGCCGAUAGUUGUCCCGGGAUCCUGCUUGUCGGAAUCCGGAAUAACGAACACGGGAUGAUCGAAAGAUGCAUCGCGAGAAUUGACAGGCUACACACGUAGACGCCUUCAUGGAUGGGCCACGGGACCGGGGUUCGAUUCCCCGCGCCUCCACUA
rnacentral:tmRNA from 1 species